rnacentral:rRNA from 1 species
UACGUAGGGUGCGAGCGUUAAUCGGAAUUACUGGGCGUAAAGCGUGCGCAGGCGGCGCGUUAAGACAGGUGUGAAAGCCCCGAGCUUAACUUGGGAAUUGCGCUUGUGACUGGCGUGCUGGAGUGUGGCAGAGGGAGGUGGAAUUCCACGUGUAGCAGUGAAAUGCGUAGAGAUGUGGAGGAACGCCGAUGGCGAAGGCAGCCUCCUGGGCCAGCACUGACGCUCAUGCACGAAAGCGUGGGGAGCAAACAGG